UACGUAGGGUGCAAGCGUUGUCCGGAAUUAUUGGGCGUAAAGAGCUCGUAGGCGGUUUGUCGCGUCGGCUGUGAAAACUGGAGGCUUAACCUUCAGCGUGCAGUCGAUACGGGCAGACUUGAGUUCGGUAGGGGAGACUGGAAUUCCUGGUGUAGCGGUGAAAUGCGCAGAUAUCAGGAGGAACACCGGUGGCGAAGGCGGGUCUCUGGGCCGAUAUUGACGCUGAGGAGCGAAAGCGUGGGGAGCGAACAGG
rnacentral:rRNA from 1 species